GUGGGUCUACCGGUCCUGGCGUCGAAGACCCGGCAGCUGUCGAACGGGGGACAGUAGAGGUGCAAGGAGACAGCGCCGUCCACGUGCGAGGGGUUCUCCAUGCGGUGCAGACCAAGAGCGUCUGAGGGCACGAGCGAGGUCAUGAAACUUGGAAAAAUAUUUUCGUUGAUGAAGAAGUAGCCGUGAACCAACCUGAUCUCCUCAAGACUUCCACUCAGUAGCUUCAUGAAGCAGUGCGAGUCGGCGUGGUCGUGGAUCGCUGAGGCGUGUCCUGGCCCCCAGCAGAGGAUCAUGAUGUUGAACGCCCCGUUCCCAACGUCGACCAAGUUCCUUGUGUACCUAAAUCGAUUAUAGGAAUUUAAUGUGAAUUAACGCGAUGAAUAUUUUAAUGGAUCAUAAAAAAAGAUGAGGGUCUUAAUUCGAUUGUGCUUUUUAUAUGUUUGUUCCCUCAGAAAUAUUUUCUAGGUAAGGUGAUUUUUAAUACGCUUUUAUUAGCUUCAGACGUAUGUAUGUUAGUAUGUAACGGAAUCUUUGAACAUGAUUUUGACCCCCUUCAAAACGUCGGAUUAACUCGAAAUUUGGUAUACUUAUUAAGGACCGAUGACAAAUUGAUUUUAAAAAAAAUAUUAAAAAAAUGAAAUUCAUCUAAAAAAUGAAAAAAUAACUUAUAGUUUAAAAAAACUAACAAACUACGCUUUUAUAGAAAAUCCAACUAAAAAAUUGAAAAUAAAUUUUAAUAAAUUUAAAUUAAAGUAUGUAGAUUAAGAAAAAAUGAUUUUAUUGUAAAAAAAGAGUGGGGUGCAUGGUAUCAGUUGUUAUAAAUAUUUUAUGAACAGAUAUGAGUAGAAGACCCAUAGACACAGCCCACUGAGUUUCUCGUCGGAUCUUCUCAGUGGGUCGCGUUUCCGAUCCGGUGGUAGAUUCUGCGAAGCACUGCUCUUGCUAGGGUCAGUGUUAGCAACUCUCCGGUUUGAGCACCGAGAGCUCACCUACACACGCUAGGGUAAGCUGAAAUAACCUCUCAAGGCUAUCAGCAUAGGAAAAAAAAAUGAAUAGAAGGGUUAUUUUUAUAAUAUCCUGAAAAGCACCCCACGCUUUUUUACAAUAAUUACAAUACAUAAUAAAUAAAAUAUUAUAAAAAGGAAAGAUUUGUUUGUUUGUUUGUAUUGAAUAGGCUCCGAAAGUACUAAAUCGAUUUGAAAAAUUAUUUCACUGUUUGAAAGCUACACUUUUCCCGAGUGACAUAGGUCAUAAUCUUUUUUGAAAAAAUUUAGGGAUCCUUACUAAAACUCCAAUAAUGUAACCCAAGGUGUAAAAAAUUACCUAAAAUAUUCUUUAUAUCGCGUGCCCUGCGAAAAGUAUUGACGAUAAAAUAAAAUAAUGUAGUAAGACUUUGUAGAACACAUUAUUAUUUACAAAAAGUGUCGCGACAGCAUAUGUCUAACUAUUAUAGUUAUGCCGCAAUAAGUGCUCUUUUAUUUUAAAAAAUAAAACAAUGUCAAAAA